rnacentral:rRNA from 1 species
UACGGGGGGAGCAAGCGUUGUUCGGAUUUACUGGGCGUAAAGGGCGCGUAGGCGGUCGUGACAAGUCACUUGUGAAAUCUCCGGGCUUAACUCGGAACGGCCAAGUGAAACUGUCAUGCUAGAGUGCAGAAGGGGCAAUCGGAAUUCUUGGUGUGGCGGUGAAAUGCGUAGAUAUCAAGAGGAACACCUGAGGUGAAGACGGGUUGCUGGGCUGACACUGACGCUGAGGCGCGAGAGCCAGGGGAGCAAACGGG